rnacentral:rRNA from 1 species
UACGUAGGGGGCGAGCGUUGUCCGGAGUUACUGGGCGUAAAGCGCACGCAGGCGGUCUGUUAAGUUUGGAGUGACAGUUGGUGGCUCAACCACCAAAGUGCUUUGAAAACUGGCAGACUUGAGGGCUUCAGAGGGACACGGAAUUCCGGGUGGAGUGGUGAAAUGCGUAGAGAUCCGGAGGAACACCGAAGGCGAAGGCAGCGUCCUGGCAAGUCACUGACGCUCAGGUGCGAAAGCUAGGGGAGCGAAACGGG